rnacentral:rRNA from 1 species
UACGAGGGGUGCAAGCGUUGCUCGGAAUUAUUGGGCGUAAAGGGUAGGUAGGUGGUCUCAUUUGUCCGGGGUGAAAGCCUUGAGCUUAACUCAAGAAGUGCCUCGGAAACGGUGAGACUGGAGUCCUGGAGAGGGUCGUGGAAUUCCCGGUGUAGCGGUGAAAUGCGUAGAGAUCGGGAGGAACACCAGAGGCGAAGGCGGGUCUCUGGGCCGUAACUGACGCUGAGGAGCGAAAGCAUGGGGAGCGAACAGG